GCCUAUUAAGAUCUAUCAUUGUAUACCAUUGCUCUAUGACAAUGCCACUCAGAUACUAUUGGCUAUAAAUCUUAGUGGGAAUUGUCUCAGGAUGUAGGUUGUACCUAUUAUUGUGUAUUUCAAUAUCUUCUUAUCUGUAUGACCUUCCUAUGUCUGUUUUUUUCCCCAAUAAAGAAAA